ensembl:rRNA 5S_rRNA 5S ribosomal RNA
GCUUACGGCCUUACCAGCUGAAGAACGCCCAAUCUCGUAUAAUCUUGGAAGCUAAGAAGGCUUGGGCCUGGUUAGUACUUGGAUGGGAGACUGCCUGGGAAUGCCAGGUGCUGUAAACU